GCUGGGUAUGGUAGCGCAUGCCUGUAAUCCCAGCCGCUCAGGAGGCUGAGACAGGAGAAUCACUUGAGCCUGGGAGGCGGAGGUUGCAGUGAGCUGAGACUGUGCCACUGCACUCCAGCCUGGGCAACAGAGUGAGGCUCUGUCUCAA
ensembl:misc_RNA Metazoa_SRP Metazoan signal recognition particle RNA